rnacentral:lncRNA from 1 species
UCACACCACAGCAAUGCAGCUUCUGGAAACCCAUUGUGACAGUGCAGGGGGCCUGGAACGUUCCUGUGACUGGCUCUGGUGGGUGAGGCCUGCUGAGGCAUGUAGGUGACCAAGCAGUGCCCCCAAGGUCAGCUAAAGGGAUGGCUUUUAUCAUCCGCUGGUGAAAACUGAUGAACUGGUACUGAAUGUGACUGCGGUACCUCCUGGAAGACCAAGCGUCUCUAACCUGCUCCCGGGUCAGCAGCUCCCGGGCCUUGGAGGCUGCCUCUGAGUGCUCAGCAGGCUCACCCACGGACUUCCUGCUCUCUCAUGCCACCACGCCUUAGUCAAAGACUUUUACAUGCUUCCCUGCUCCUGCUAUUGAACGUGGCUUGGGACUGCUAUGGAGCUCACUCUGGCCCAUUUUUCACCAUCAUGUAACUGACUCAGCCUUUCAAUUUCCACUCCAAAUUCCUCUGCCUGGUGGAUUUCUGUCUCUGUAAUAACUAAAUGUGGCUGGCCAGACUUGGGAGUGGUGGGACAGAAUCAUAAAGAACCCUAGACUGUUCCUCCUAGAGGUGUGGGUAAAGCAGAUUCUCGAAGGAAGGAGGUUUUGCUCAUGAAAAAUUGCUUUUCUGCCAAAAAUGGUUCUCAUGUUCACUGAGCUUCAUCUUAUAUUUUAACUCGGCAGCCUGGAUGCCCCCACUGUAGCCCGGCACCCAAAGAGGAGAGUAAAAGAAUCAAGCCACACCGGAGGGCACCCAACUGUGGCCUCAGGAUUUUUCUUAUUUCUUUCAUUUGGCAAUAAAUGUUUGCAAAAUCCGUGGACCUGAGUUAUAAUGACGUGUGCUGCUAAUAGAUGGUAUCAUUUAGCAUGCAAAGUAGUACACUUCCCUAAAUUUCAGUGCUUAUUUCACUCGAUGUGCCAAUCAGCUGCCUCAUUUGCCUCAGGAAAGAACCAGAAAGAUAGUACCGGUCUGUUCUAUGCUCUACGAAGGAAAGAAUAUUGGUUGCAGGAAGCAGCCUUUGAUUACUAGAAGAGAAAAUUGACAUCUUUCUCUGAUAAGGCAAAUUGGAGACCACAUUGUGCCUAGAUGUUAUACUGUUUGAAUUCUUAGUCUUUGUUUUGUUUCCAGUGCUUAUUCACAUUUUAUAGGGCUCCUGAAGAACCAGAAUUUUCAGCUCCGCUGGCCUGGAUUCCUUGUCUCGUCAGCACAAUCCUCUGCUGCUCCAGAGUUUGGCUAUUGCGGGAACUCAGCUUCUGUUCAUCUUUCCUGCCCCUGCUCUCAUCAAGCCUGACUUUGUCAUUCAAGUGGAAGAUUUGACUGGCCAGCCAAUUCCAACCUACUAGUGUCCUCCAGCUGUCUAUGGGUGGGACCACUGUCUACAAAGUGACCACAUGCCAGAGCUUAUAGACUGGGGUCCCACCUUUGUCCAGGGAAUGUGGCCCAGCCAACUGUUUUGGGAUGUUUGUGACAACUGUGCAAAUUAUGGCCACUUUUUCCAUAAGAAAUUGUACAUGUGGCCAACACUCAGAGCGUUAUAUCUCUUAAACAGGUUUAGUAGUUCAGUGUUAAAUUAUUUUCUAAUUUUGUAAAAUUGGUAGUGAAUCUUAUAUGUAAACUCUAUUAACUUGAAUUUUAUGUCAGAACACUACCUAUCAUGGGUGUCAG